rnacentral:rRNA from 1 species
AGGACGACGCUGGCGGCGCGCCUAACACAUGCAAGUCGAACGAGAGAGAGGGAGCUUGCUUCCUCGAUCGAGUGGCGAACGGGUGAGUAACGCGUGAGGAACCUGCCUCAAAGAGGGGGACAACAGUUGGAAACGACUGCUAAUACCGCAUAAGCCCACGACCCGGCAUCGGGAAGAGGGAAAAGGAGCAAUCCGCUUUGAGAUGGCCUCGCGUCCGAUUAGCUAGUUGGUGAGGUAACGGCCCACCAAGGCGACGAUCGGUAGCCGGACUGAGAGGUUGAACGGCCACAUUGGGACUGAGACACGGCCCAGACUCCUACGGGAGGCAGCAGUGGGGAAUAUUGCACAAUGGGGGAAACCUUGAUGCAGCGACGCCGCGUGGAGGAAGAAGGUCUUCGGAUUGUAAACUCCUGUUGUUGAGGAAGAUAAUGACGGUACUCAACAAGGAAGUGACGGCUAACUACGUG